rnacentral:rRNA from 1 species
UGGCAGCAGUAAGGAAUAUUGCGCAAUGGGCGAAAGCCUGACGCAGCGACGCCGCGUGGGGAUGAAGGUCUUCGGAUUGUAAACCCCUUUCGGGAGGGAAGAUGGAGCGAGCAAUCGUUCGGACGGUACUCCAGAAGCAGCCACGGCCAACUUCGUGCCAGCAGCCGCGGUAAUACGAAGGUGGCAAGCGUUGUUCGGAUUACUGGGCGUACAGGGUGUGUAGGCGGUUUGGUAAGCCUUCUGUUAAAGCUUCGGGCCCAACCCGGAAAGCGCGAGGGUACUGCCAGGCUAGAGGGUGGGAGAGGAGCGCGGAAUUCCCGGUGUAGCGGUGAAAUGCGUAGAGAUGGGAGGAAGGCCGGUGGCGAAGGCGGCGCUCUGGAACAUACCUGACGCUGAGACACGAAAGCGUGGGGAGCAACAGGAUUAGAUACCCUGGUAGUCCACGCCCUAAACUAUGGAUACUAAGUGUCGGCGGGUUACCGCCGGUGCGCAGCUAACGCAUUAAGUAUCCCGCCUGGGAAGUACGGCCGCAAGGUUGAAACUCAAAUGAAUUGACGG